AGUCUAUUAGCUCAGUUGAUUAGAGCAUUGUGCUAAUAACACGAAAGUCAUAGGUUCGAUUCAUAUUUGGACCC
rfam:Glycine soja cultivar W05 scaffold1370_2, whole genome shotgun sequence.